CUCGCCCAGCCGCGGUUCGUGCCCAGCCCCGCUUCGCGCCCCAGCCCGACCGACCCAGCCCUUAGAGCCAAUCCUUAUCCCGAGGUUAUGGAUCCAGCCU